GAUGAACGCUGGCGGCGUGCCUAAUACAUGCAAGUCGAGCGAACAGACGAGGAGCUUGCUCCUCUGACGUUAGCGGCGGACGGGUGAGUAACACGUGGAUAACCUACCUAUAAGACUGGGAUAACUUCGGGAAACAGGAGCUAAUACCGGAUAAUAUAUUGAACCGCAUGGAUCAAUAGUGAAAGACGGUUUUGCUGUCACUAAUAGAUGGAUCCGCGCCGCAUUAGCUAGUUGGUAAGGUAACGGCUUACCAAGGCAACGAUGCGUAGCCGACCUGAGAGGGUGAUCGGCCACACUGGAACUGAGACACGGUCCAGACUCCUACGGGAGGCAGCAGUAGGGAAUCUUCCGCAAUGGGCGAAAGCCUGACGGAGCAACGCCGCGUGAGUGAUGAAGGUCUUCGGAUCGUAAAACUCUUUUAUUAGGGAAGAACAAAUGCGUAAGUAUCUCUGCACGUCUUGACGGUACCUAAUCAGAAAGCCCCGGCUAACUUCGUG
rnacentral:rRNA from 1 species